UGGUGGGUUUUGUUUUCACUAAAAAAUUACCUGAGAAGACAUGAAAUGAAACAAUUGUAUGUUUUAAACUUAAAGGUUAGCACGUAUGAGUAACAUGUGAAAUGAACCGAGAUAUUGUGCUUUUAUCAUUUGAAAAAUUUAAAGUGAAGGGAAAAUGGCGACGGUGUUGGCGAACAUUCAACGAACCAGACAUAAUGCAAGAAAAGCAAUUUCACAAGGAAUGCUGGAUGUUGCACUUUUCUUAUCAAAUGUCGCGCAGAUUAAAUCUGUCUUAGACGGAGAUCUAGGAGUAGGAACAAGACCAUUAAUAGCGAUUGUCAUGAUUUCAUUAUCAUUACUUAUGCAGGUGGCGAUAGGAAUAUUAAUAAUAAUGUUAUUAUAUUUAGAAGGGGCAUUACUUCAGCUUAAACAGGCAAGUCGUGAUAAUGCGUUACUUUCUGAUGAUGGGGCCAUGGCAGUGGAGGUCACUAAUAUGGAACCGCAGCCAGUCCUAUCAGCUGCUGACGAUGCUGGUGCAAAGAAAAGAUCUAAGCUGCCCAUACGUGCUAGAAGAAUUAACACUGCAAUUUUAUGUCUGAUUUUCGGAGUUUUGUGUUUUAAUCUUGUUAUAAACGGAUUAGAACUUUCGAAGCCUAAUGUCCUUAAACAGUUGAUUAUGGCGUACAAUAUAACUUUACCAAAAUGAAGAUAUUCACAAUGACGAUGUUGCCAAUCUUAAGUUGUAACAUGAAUAAAAUAUCAUCACUUCAAAUAAAUUUCAUUGAAAGUUUUCUUAGAUGUCUGUAGCAAGUAUUGUAUGUAGAUAGUUCGCACGGACUUUAAUUACUCAAAACCUUUAAUUUUUAAUAAAAAAAAAAUGAACGUUU